GUCAAGUCCACCAGUGCACCUGAAGCUGGAAAGCACUCAUUCAUUCCUUCUUUCCAUUUCCGAGUGUUCCGGUGGUGCCAGGCCCUGCGGUGAGGCAGGAGGAAGACACAGUCCUGGCCUCGGAGAGCUCACACUGGCCCAGCGUCCCUUACUGAGCCUACAGGCUGCCUUUCUGCCACCACUGUUCUGAGUGUUACGGAGGAAACCAACAGGACUGAGAUAGGGACCCUGUUCCCUGAGAGCUUUUGCAGUAGGAACGAUUAGAUACAUAAAAAGUCAAAAUAUAAGCAAAGAGGUGAUGCGGACAAUAAGGACAUGUUGAGUUAAAUGCCCUGAACAUGCAGAGGCCACGAGUGAAUGAAAGCAGCAGUGGUGUGAGGGGACUCUGCUGGUAGGAGUCCUCUGGACCAGUGAUCGCAAGGGACACAAAGCUACCGCAUCUUCUGCAUUCGCUCUCAAGCCCUGCUGAGGCCACAUCCUGAAGGUCACUCACUCCACCUACAAAACUUCUAUAAUUUCUCUCCCGACUCCUGUCCAUCUUUCCUACCACCAACAGGGAUCUGCCUAAAAUGCACGUGCAGUCCCAUUGGUCCCCUGCUUACCGUCUUACAAAGUAUUACCCAAAAUCUUAAUUGAUGCAAGGCUCUUCUUUUGUCUGGUGAGCCUCCCGGACCCACCCCCCACACCCUUCACGCCGUAUCCCCCAACACUCCGCUCAUCUCUAGGUACCUGUAAGCUUGACUUACCGAAU